GCCUGGGUGGCUCAGUCGGUUGAGCGUCUGACUUCAGCUCAGGUCAUGAUCUCACAGUUUGUGGGUUCGAGCCCCACAUCGGGCU
rnacentral:tRNA from 1 species